GAAGGAGAUAGGAUCAUGAACAAGGAUUGGUCUUGAACAGGAAAAAGCACACCUCUUCCUCAUAAACUGGAGGAGAGGAGAUAAGAGUGAGUGCGUUUGAAGCUCAACUUGUUGUGGACAAAAAGCCAAGGGGAUUCACACUCUAUAAACCUGCUCCUUCAUCACAGGAGAGGCACAACCAUCAGCUGAGAGGAAAGGAGUCAGGGUGGAACAUGGAUGGCUGCUGUAGAAAGUGGGAGAGGAGGAGGAACAGAAACAGGUAAAAUUAUUGCUCCAGGCGGGCUCCCUUAAGGCACUGACUGAGAGGGGAGAGCCAGAAAGAAAAGAGAAAGGGAUCACAGGCACAGUCUUAGGGAAGGUACACAUUUUCCAGAAGAAAGGAAAGAGGAACCAGCAGAGACAUUUGAGAGAGAAUGGCUAUAGAAGUGGGAAGAAAACUGCAUUGCCAUAGAAGCCGUGGGUUCUCCUUGGAGCCGCUAAAAUUCUUGACAGCUCUGCAACGAGAAAUCUCCAGACAAAUGGAAACCAGGAGUUCCCAUCUCAGAAGUGGAACAGAAAAAAAAUGGAAAAAAUAUGUUAAGCUGAUUUCUGUGGUCCUCAUACACCUUCAAGUUAUAGGGACAAAAUACUGACUGAGGAUUAGCUUCAUUUUUCUUUCUGCUUUGGGAUCUGUUGUUAAUUUAGUGAAAUACAUAUUUCUGCCAGGCAAGACCCAGGUAAAGCUUAGGUCAAGUUACAAACCCAAGCCUUUUAUCACACUCUGACAGCAGGAAAAACCACGUCUGGAAAAUGUCAUUAUCAGGAAAAAACUGUGUUUUGCUUUGAGUCCUUGGCUUGAGGUUUUCUUUACAUUUUAAAAUUCCACUAAGGAGCUAAAAAGUUAGUAGCUAACAACUACUAAAGUAAUUAAAUUGUGUAGAGGCCAAAAUAAAUAAAAUCCAUUAAUUAGUAGGACUGCAUUACAUUCUAUGACUUUGUCCAAAUAUUUUUGUAAGAACAGAUUCUCAAACUCUCGAUAUGAAAUCAGUAGAUCUUUGGAACAGAGCAACGUUCCUAUUUUGUUGCUGUUUUAUAUAUUUUGGAGAAAGUAAUUGAAUUUACCUGAAUCUCAAUUUAUUCAUAUAUAAAAUAGAGACAAUAUGAAUUAUCUUGUAAAUGUGAAGAUUCGCAUCCUUUUUGGGCACUUAGACAACAGACAUUUCACCCUCGUCUUCAUAGAGCUUUGCAUAUUCAAAAGGCAAUGUUACUAAAACAGCAUUUCCAUCUCUCAAGCAUAGAAAAACUUUGACACUCAGAGAUUAGCUAUAGGUUUGAAAUAGAGCAUCUGCGGAAAAUCUAUAAUUAUAACCAGGCCACAAAAAGAUGAGGUGGAAUACACAAACAGACUCUUAAUGUUGGUCACUUUAAGCAAAGGUGGGACAAGUUGGAAGAUAUGAAUAUUAUUUUAUUGCAUUUGUUAUCACCCUGAAAAUGUCUUGCGAUUCGUAAAUUUUGGAAGAGCUUUUCUAAGCAUUUUAAAAUAAAUUUCAAUAGUCUGUGUCUCUUUUUCCCUUUUACUACAAAUUAAUAUGUAGUUUCUUAGGUCUGCAUUUUAGGACACAUAAUUAAAGAUAACUUUCUAUAAACCCAUAUUAAGUUUAAGUGAGGCAGCUUCAAAUUGGAAGACUUACAUAAAACUAGCAAAUGUAACACUUGGCUAUCACAUAUGUCCUCAUGUCUAGAGAAUUUCUUGGGCUGUCACCAAAAAGUCUAGUCUGAGUGAAAAGAUGCUUAGUAAGGAACAAGGACAAUCUUUUAUGCCACUCUUACAUAAGGAUCGCAUUGGCAGCAAAUAGUCCAAGCCAUCCUUGUCGCAUGCUGCUAUCUGCUAAAGAUGUGAACAGCACAGCGAACUGCUGGAAGAGGAAUGAGUCACGGGCAAUACCUGCCACAUGCAUUAUUCUCAAGGUAAAUGCAAGUCAUGAGACGAGGCCACAGAGUCCUAAAAUAGGCUAAGCCUGUCACUUAGUACCCAAAACAAUUACUCAAGAAAUAGCUCUUUUUAAUGGGACAAAUUACUCCAUCAGCAUAAAAUGACACUGUCAUGAGAUUGUUGGAUAAUUUCUUUUUUCUUUUUAAGCAAUUUCCUGGUGAUCACCCUGACAUGCAAAUUACAAAUUAAAAUUACUUCACUUAAAGGAAGCCAAGAAUUGUUUUCUAAAAAAUCUCUUCUCAGUUCCAGUCUAGGUUUGAAGUCGCUCCCACAGAAGGACCACAGUAGAGGCUGGCCAAGAGAAUCCGUGGGAAGCAACUGCCGGGUAGACUGAAAAGCAAGUGCCUUAGAAAGACCAGAAAGGCUGCAGGCUUCCUGUGUGGGGAGGUCAGGAGAGGAAACCCCACAGUCCAGUUUCUCAUGCGCAUGUCUGCUGGAAAGACAUGGGCCAUCACAGAGCACGUGAAAGGGACAACUGAGCACAAAACUUUAAGCACAGGUCAGGACCAACUAAAGCUGAAGUUUGCCAGGUAUAUUCGUUUCCUAGAGCUGCCAAAACAAAUCACCACAAACUGGGUAGCUUGAAACAGCAGAAAUUUACUGUCUCACGGUCUGGAGACUAGAAGUCUGAAAUCAAGGCGUCUGCAGGGUUGGUUCCUUCCGGAGGUUCUAGGGGAGAAUCUGUUCUGAGCCUCCUUCCCAGCUUCUGGGGGUUGCUGGCUGUGCCUGGUGUUCCUUGGAUUGUAGACGUAGCCCUUUCCUCUCUGCCUCCACUGUCACAGGGUGUUCUCUCCCUGUGUGUCUCUGUCCAAAUUUCUCUCUUCUUAUAAGAACACCAGUCAUUGGGUUAUAUUCCAUCUUAAUCCAAUAGGACCUCAUUUUAACUUGGUUGCAUCUGAAAAAACACCACGUAUUUCUAAAUAAGAUUACAUUCACAGGUACUGGGGGUAAGGACUUGAACGUAUCUUUUAGGGGGAUACAACUCAACCCACAACACCAAGUCUUUCAGAAGUGACCUGGCCAACCAUUAGCAGGAGGAUCUGGGACCCUUGUGUGGCACAGCGUAAGGAAAACAUAGAAUAUUAAAGCUCAAAGCAACCUCGGAAAUCACCAAACCCAACCACUUUACUUUAUAGAUAAUUAAUAGAUCUUACCAAAGCAGCAAUUUGCAACCAAUGGCAGUUUGAGUACCGAGGAUACAACCAGUUGUGAAGGAUGAGGCAGGAAACUAUUAGUAAUAAAAAGUACUAGGCAGUGAGGAUGACUCACUUUUUUUAUACACAAGGGUAGAGUAAAGGUUAUGCCCACAAUCAUCUCAAGGAAAAUCUUUACCAUGCUCUACUGAAGACCUACCUAAACACAAAAUGUUAGUCCUCAGUCCUCUCCUUUCCAACAGGAGGAAAAGAAAGAGAAGUGCAAGUUGUAAAGAGAAAGAGAGAGGACAAGAGAGAUACAAACAUAUAUGAAUGCCUACUGUAGACCAGGAGACAUGCUAGACAUGGAAGACAUAUCUCAUUGCAUCUUCAUAAUCUAAGCAUGUUAGUUGUUAUCCCCACAUCACAGAUGAGGAAACUGAGGAUUGGUGUAUCCGAGUACUUUGCCCGUUGUCACACUGCUAGUCCCUGAUGGAACUACAAUGAAACCUAGGACUCGCUGACCCAAGGCAGCACUUCCCAAGAAGAAAAGUGGAAAGAAAGAAGUUCAAAGUCCUCAUUUCAGGUUGUUUCUCGGAAACAGAAAAUUCGCAUACUUUUGAAUGUAAAAAUUUUCUUAAAGAGAGCAAAAAAUAGGAUAGAUGAAAAGAUAUGAUUUGGGUGCUGUCUUCAAUUAACGUCUUGAAUCUCUAUAAGGAGAUGACGGUAUAGAGAUGUGAAGAAAACUAUCUAGAUUAGUUUAAUGGGAGGUGAGAGGCUGAAAAACCACUUGGGGCUUCACUGACAUUCAAGACUAAACAGUUUUAGAGUAACAGAACAUAACCAGCUGAGAGACACAUUCUUUAUUUUCACGUUUCAUUUUAUCCAUCUUAAGAUCCAGGCUAAAGAGCCCUAAUCCCAGCUGGGGAUAGGGGCUGAGCUUCCAGCAGGCCCGGACUAUGAUGCUGCAUUUUCUAUACACCAGCAGCGCACAGUGAGUUCUUGUCCAGAUUCAAACUACAGGGUCCCUAGUAUGUUUCCACAGUAUUAUCCCCAAAUGAGAGAAGAUAGCUUGGAGGAUCAUUGAGGGUUCAAUGUGUAGAAGGUAGCUGCAAUGUAUGGACAACUGUAAAUAGAAAAGAAAAAUAAUCCUAUCUGUUACACUUGGCUUAGUGUGGGUCAUCUGAUUGGAGAUGGACAGCUCUGCAGGUACAUCCAAGUUUAUUGGGUAUGAUGAAGCCUUCCUAAAUAGAGCCAUUGCUUCAGUUGUUAAAUUGUCAUAAAGACCCUAUUAGAAUAAGAUAAGCCUUCAAAAUUGGCUUUCUUCAAUGGAGUAGUUUGUUAAGGGUAUUCUGAAUGCUACUACUUCAUGUCAUAAAUCUUAACUGAUGACUGAUGCUGAUCAUUUGCCUUACAUUUAUUCCUAAAAGGCCUGAAUUGUGAACCUAAUCAAUACUAGCUUAUCCUCUAACUCCAGACAUGCCUCCAAUAAACUCCCCCAUAGCAGAUGGCUAACACAUUCCUGGGUCUGUCCACCAAAAAUAUGUUGCAGUAUGUCCUUGCCUUCUCUAUCAUGAAGUGCAUCUCUCACCUAAAUUCAUCCAGAGAGCCAAGUCAUCUCCCUUGUCUUCUUUUCAGUUGAUCUCCAAGUCAAUGGCCACGCCCAUUCUACAGUUACCUACUCAUUCUUUUCUAAUCCUGGAUUCCAGACGUUUAUUUUAGGCUGCCUGGUGGACAUCUCUACAAGAUGGUUGCACAAGCAUCUCACAGGUAGUAUAGCAGGAUGAGUAGGAGCACGUCCCUUAGAGCUAGAUAAAUCUGGAUUCAAGUCCCAGCUCUGUCUCCUGCUUGCAAUGAGACUUCUUUUGGUUGCUGAUUCUUCUCUAAGCUUCAGUUUCCACAUCUACAGGAUGGGAAUAAUAUGGUAUCUACUUUAUAAGGUGGUUGUGAUAAUUAACUUAUAAAAUAUUCACAACAGGGGCUGGCCCCGCGGCCGAGUGGUUAAGUUUGCGCACUCAGCUGCAGGCAGCCCAGUGUUUCGUUGGUUCGAAUCCUGGGCGCAGACAUGGCACUGCUCAUUAAACCAUGCUGAGGCAGCGUCCCACAUGCCACAACUGGAAGGACCCACAAUGAAGAAUAUACAACUAUGUACUGGGGGGCUUUGGGGAGAAAAAGGAAAAAAAUAAAAUCUUUAAAAAAAAAAUAUUCACAACAGGGGGCCAGCUCUGUGGGCUAGUGGUUAAGUUCAAUGUACUCCACUUUGGCGACCCGUGGUUCACUUCCCAGGCGUGGACCUAGACCACUCAUUGGUAGCCAUGCUGUGGCAGGAACGCACAUAUCAAAUAGAGGAAGAUUGGCACAGAUGUUUGCUCAGGGCGAAUCUUCCUCAGCCAAAAAAAAGCAAAAAAAAAUCCACAGAGUACCUAGCUCAUGGUAAGUGCUCCAUAAUAAACAUUAUAAAGCUGAACUCAUUAUCUCUACCUGCAAAUCUGCGUCUCUCACCCAGUCCCAUCCUCCUAAACUCAUUCCUUUCCAUCUCCAUCACAUCCAAUGGGUCACUUAGUUCUGUUCAUCCCUGUUCUACCUUCUUUUAAGACUUUAUUUUUCGAGAGCAAUUUUAGAUUCACAGCAAAAUCCAGAGGAAGGUACAGAGAUUUCCCAUACACUACCCGUCCCGACACAUGCAUUGCCUCCCCCAUUAGCAACAUCCCCCAUUAGAGUAGUAUGUUUAUUACAAUUGAUGAAUCGACACAGACAAACCAUAACCACUCAAAGUCCACAGUUUGCAUUACAGUUCACUCUUGUUGUUGUACAAUCUAUGUGUUUGGACAAAUGUAUAAUGACAUUUAUCCACCAUUAUAGUAUCAUGCAGUGUGUUUUCACCGCCCUAAAAAUCCUCUAUGCUUCAUCUCUUCGCCUCUUCCCCUAGGAACUACUGAUCUUUUUACUUUACCCCUAGUUUUGCCUUUUCCAGAAUGUCAUAUAGUUAGAAUCAUACACAUGUAGCCUUUUCAGAUUGGCUUCUUUCACUUAGUGAUACACAUUUAAGUUUCCUCCAUGCAUUUUCAUGGCUUCAUAGCUCAUUUCUUUUUAGCACUGAACAAUAGGCCAUUGUCUGGAUGUACCUCAGUUUAUUUAUCCAUUUACUGAAGGACAACUUGGUUACUUCCAAGUUUUAGCAAUUUUGAAUAAAGGUGCUAUAAACAUCCAUGUGCAGGUUUUUGUGUGGACACGUUUUCAACUCCUUUGGGUAAAUACCAAAGAAUGCGACUGGUGGAUCGUAUGGUAAGAGUUUGUUUAGUUUUUUAAGAAACUGCCAAACUGUCUUCCAAAGUGGCUGUAACAUUUUGCAUUUUCACCAGCAAUGAAUGAGAGUUCCUGUUGCUCCACAUCCUCCUUAGCAUUGGGUGUUGUCAGUGUUCCAGACUUUGGCCAUUUUAAUAGGCAUGUAGUGAUAUAUCAUUAUUGUCUUAACGUGCAUUUCCAUGAUGACAUAUGACGUGGAGCAUCUUUUCAUAUGGUUAUUCGCCAUCUGUGUAUCUUCUUUGGUGAAAUGUCAAUUAACGUCUUUGGCUCAUUUUUUAUUGGGUUGUUUAUGUCCUUAUUGCUGAGUUUUAAGAGAUCUUUGUAUAUUUUGGAUAAUAAUUCUUUAUCAGAUGCUUCUUUUGCAAAUAUAUUCUCCCAGUUUGUGGCUUGUCUUCUCAUUCUCUUGAUUUUCUUCUUUUUUAGCAUAUAGGAAAAGAAUUAUGUGAAGUUAUAUAUUUUUUUUCCGAAAUAAAUUCUGGCAGAUUGAAUAGUAUAACAGAGGAAAGACCUGUUUGUAAUAAAAAGGUGAAGUGGAAAACAAGAUGUAUCAUCUAAGUGUUUAAUUGCUGUAAUUUGAAGGCUCAAAUAUAGCAAAGUCAAAAAAGGAAACAUUUUAUUUCAUUUUACUUCUAAGAAAAAUUAUCAUGAUUUUUCUUAAUGCCUUGAGAAAUGUUCACCCUAAUGCCUUAGACACGGCCAGUGCCAAGUGGUAGGAGUAUAUGGGUAGAGUGUUCUAUAAAUAGCAGCACUGGAAAAAAAAAUUCAUGGGAAAAAGAUAAGGAAGAAUCUGUACCUUUGCCCUGCCCACCUAAGAAGCUCUAUAGCAAGUGGCUAAAGGUAUCUAUUCUAGGGCCAUUCUCAGCUCUGCCUCAAGGCUGUGUGACCUUGAGCAGGUUACUUUAACUCUCUGUGCUUUGGUUUCUUCAUCUAUAAAAUGAGGACAAUAAUAAUAACUAGGGCUGUUUUAAGGAUAAAAUUGGUAAAUAUACAGCACUUAUAAGAGCUCCUGGAACAUAGUAAACACUCAGUAAAUAUUAGCUAUUAUUUCUAAAGAGCUAUUUGUGAGGAUCAAAUGAAACAUUUGUAAUCUUUGAAAGCUAUACAAUUGAUCAUGUUACAUCAAUAAUAAAA
ensembl:lncRNA